AGAAUAUGGAAUGUGGAUACAGCUACCUAGGCCUUUCAUAUGUAUGGACCAGACUCACUUUUCUCUAGGAAAUCAGUCUAAUGUCAGAGAUAAUGGGAGGGCUGGAGAGAUGGCUCAAUGGUUUAAAAGGCAUGCUGCUUUCAUAGAGGACCCAAGUUUAGUUCCCAGCACCCACAUCAGGUAGCUUACAGUCGUCUGUAACUCCAGCUCCUGGGGAUCCAACACCUCUGACCUCCAAGGGGUCCUGGACUCAUGUGCAUAGACAGACACAUGCAUAUAAUCAAAAAUAAUAAAAACAAAUCUUAAAAUAAUAAGAUUAAUAAUAGAAUUAAAGGUUUAAAAAAACCUCAUAGGAAUUAGCUGACUUUCACACACGAUGUGACAGAUUCAAGAGAAGCUGUGAAACCCAGGGAAGGAGCUCACAGGGGCUUCAGACAAGAUGGCGCACUCCAGGGGCCAAAUACCCUCGCAUUUGAAAGAACAUGGCCAUCAGCAAACUGUGAGGACAGGAUGCUGCUGCCAAGGAGAGUGCUUCAAUAGAGACAGACCCCACAUUUGCUGGAAGCAGUCUGUUACCAAGACAAAUGGAAGACAGAAAGAUUUCCAACUGUAAACGACCUUGUACUGGAACGGAAGACACUGUUUCCUGAGCUGGAUUUAGCAAGCAUUAGCAUAGGACAGGACAUCAGAAGCACAACCCAGCAGACAAAAAGUAAGUAGGUGUGGAGAGGGGGCAUCAACAUUGAAGACUUGUGUGGAUCAAAUAAGAAAAAGCAGAAAAGGCAGCCUCCAGAAGGUAAGAACGCGCUUUUGAAAUAUCCGACAAUGAGUAAAUAUCCAAAAAUAUUCAAGUGACUCCUACAGCUCAACAACAAAACUCCAUACAGGGCUGGAGGGAUGGCUCGCUCAUUCAUAGGACUCAGGUUCAGUCCCCAGCACCUACAUGGUGACCCACAAUCACCUGUAAUUCUAAUACGUAUUGAUGAAAAGGACCUACAAUGCCAUGAGGAAAACUCACAUGACAGACAGCAUCAAGGUACAGCUUAGAUAUUCAGAAACAGUCAGUGCGCUGAGCAGCUAGGCAAAGGGUCCAGUUUACCUUAAAGUUAAAAAAUAAAUACAAAAAUACAAAAAGCUCCAUGCUUGAAACAGUACCCCUUAAAUAGUGGCUCAUCAAGUCUAAAGAUACUGGGGCUAGAGAGUUGCCCUAGUGGUUAAGAACACUUGAAACUCUUAACAGAGGACCUUGGUUCACAUGGUGACUAACAGUCACCUAUAACUCCAAUUCCAGGGGUUCUGAUGCCCUCUGGUGGUCAUUGUAGGCUCCUGCAUAUACUUGGUUCCCAUAAACUCACACAUAUACACAUAAAUUUUAAAAAUAUAUUCUUUUUAAAAUGGUGCCAAUGGAAAAUGCUAAUAAAAUGCUCACAGAAACUAUGAGCUUAGAUCUUGACCUACAAUCUUAUCUUUGCUCAGAGAAAGGAGCAACAUUUUACAAAUGCAAGAGCCCAGGGGGUAAAUUCUCGAGCCUUCCUUUCAGUGAUAGAGAUACAGGUCAAACUUGAACGAGCCAAGUGAUGAGGAGAAAAGGAUGUUACCACUGAAAAGGACCAGCGGGGCUAUGAUGUUCAUCUCCACGGGCAACUCGAUUGGAUGGAGAGACGCUUAGAGAACAAGUAGAGCAAAUGUCACAAAACCAGGAGGGGGAUCCCAGAGGGGACUGCCAUGUCAGGCUGCAACUGAGAGGAAGACAUUCCCUGAGGGUGACAGUGCCACCCACAGCUGGAAUAGAAGCAGAAGUGGGUGGAGGCCGUCUAGCAUCCCCUCGCUUUCAGUCAGCUUUCCGGCCACGGUAUCCCAUCAUGCCCUGCAGUGGUGGCGGCAGCGUUCUACCUCACCAAACUCCCACAAACAAUGGAUCCAGCCAACUGUGCGCUUUACAUCUAAAGCCAGGAGCCAAAAUAAAUUGUUUUCCUUAAAAUCCAGCCAUGGC
rnacentral:lncRNA from 1 species